ACUCACGGGAGGCAGCAGUAGGGAAUCUUCGGCAAUGGACGAAAGUCUGACCGAGCAACGCCGCGUGAGUGAAGAAGGUUUUCGGAUCGUAAAACUCUGUCGGUAGAGAAGAACGUUGGUGAGAGUGGAAAGCUCAUCAAGUGACGGUAACUACCCAGAAAGGGACGGCUAACUACGUGCCAGCAGCCGCGGUAAU
rnacentral:rRNA from 1 species